UUGCGCUACCUGGUUGAUCCUGCCAGUAGUUAUAUGCUUACUUCUGAGACUAAGCCAUGCAUACUCUAGUUUGAGUGUUUUACUGAAACGGUGGACGGCUCAUUAAAAAGGUAUUUAGCCCUUUCUUCUACUCGUGAGAGGGGACUUGCUUUGGAAAUCUGAGCCUAAUACGUGUGGUUGAACUGAGCAGCGACUUUUAAAGUUAGCUAUUUUUGGGUAUGCCAGUUUGUUGUUCGAAAGAUGCCUUGUUCUUAGUAGUUAUACUACAGUCUAGAAGGUGGAGUUCCUACCUAUCAGCGGGGCGCUGGGGUAGUUUCCCAGCUGUGCUUCAACGGGUAACGGAGAAUUAGGGUUUGAUUCCGGAGAGGGAGCCUGUGAAAUGGCUGCUACAUCCACGGAUAGCAGCAGGCGCGCAACUUAUCCAAUUUUGUGAAAGGGAGGUAGUUAGGAAGAGUAGUGGGAACAGCUUUAACAGCAGUUUACUGCAAUGGAGAGUCAGUGUUAAGGGUUCUGAGAAACAACUGGAGGGCAAGUCUGGUGCCAGCAGCCGCGGUAAUUCCAGCUUCAUUAGUGUAUAUUAACGUUGUUGCGCUUAAAAGGUUCGUAGUUUAAUGGAAUCGCGUAUUUUGUUACUUUUUUAAGUUGCAGUUUUCGCUUUGUAAGGUUUUUCCUUGAGAGCCGUGAAUAAUUAAUUUUGCUUCAAAACGACGAUUGUUGUUGUUUUUCGCACGGUAUUGCUCUUCAGUCGACCUUGGCUUCACGUUCUGCGUCUCGUGAGUGUCAAGAGCUCUUCUAAUGGUUAUGAGGGUUAAGGGAUGGAACCUGAACGUGGGUGUUAGAGGUGAAAUUCUUGUACCACCUGUUGUCGAACUGCUGCGGAUGCGUCUUUCAUCAAUACGUUCGUUGAUCAAGAUUGAAAGUUGAGGGUUUGAAGACGAUCAGAUACCGUCGUAGUCUUUACCGUAAACUGUGCCAACUGCCACUUGGCCUUCACUAAAAGUGUCACUCCGGCAAAAGAAAUUCGAGUUAUUUGGCUGUGGGGGGAGUAUGGUCGCAAGAGUGAAACUUAAAGAAAUUGACGGAAGGGCACCACAAGGAGUGGAGUUUGCGGCUUAAUUUGACUCAACGCGGGUAACCUUACCAGGUCAAGCGAUAGGAAGGAUUGACAAGUUGGCAGGUUUUUCUUGAUUCUAGAAAUGGUGGUGCAUGGCCGUUCUUAGUUGGUGGAUUACUCUGUCUGGUUUAUUCCGAUAACGAACGAGAUCGCUUUGGUGCCGAAGGAACUUCUGCACUUGUUGUUGAAGGUUCGAGUGCAAAGACUCUGCAAUAAAUUGAAGGGAAGUGGCGGCAAUAACAGGUCUGUGAUGCCCUUAGAUGUCCUGGGCGGCCCGCGCGCUACAGUGUCAGCUACUGAAGGUAAUUUUUGCGAAAGUGAAGUGGUUCUCCUCUUAAUUGCUCGCUUGCUGGGAUAGACGAACGUACUUUUGUUUUGAACGAGGAAUUCCUAGUAGCCCUGCUUCACAAGAGGAGGGCGAAUGCGUCCCUGCCCUUUGUACACACCGCCCGUCGCUCCUACCGAUGAGCGUUUUGGCAAAAACGGUUUGAUUAGCUGCUGUUUAGCUUUGUUGACUCUGGCAGUUUGAGCCUUCGCGUUUAGAGGAAGGAGAAGUCGUAACAAGGUUUCCGUAGGUGAACCUGCAGAAGGAUCA
rnacentral:rRNA from 1 species